rnacentral:rRNA from 1 species
AGUUUGAUCAUGGCUCAGAGUGAACGCUGGCGGCAGGCCUAAUACAUGCAAGUCGAACGGCAGCACAGCAGAGCUUGCUCUGUGGGUGGCGAGUGGCGGACGGGUGAGGAAUACAUGGGAAUCUGCCCAGUCGUGGGGGAUAACGUAGGGAAACUUACGCUAAUACCGCAUGCGCCCUUCGGGGGAAAGCCGGGGACCUUCGGGCCUGGCGCGAUUGGAUGAGCCCAUGUCGGAUUAGCUAGUUGGCGGGGUAAUGGCCCACCAAGGCGACGAUCCGUAGCUGGUCUGAGAGGAUGAUCAGCCACACUGGAACUGAGACACGGUCCAGACUCCUACGGGAGGCAGCAGUAGGGAAUAUUGGACAAUGGGCGCAAGCCUGAUCCAGCCAUGCCGCGUGAGUGAAGAAGGCCCUCGGGUUGUAAAGCUCUUUUGUCCGGAAAGAAAAGCGCCGGGUUAAUACCCUGGUGUCCUGACGGUACCGGAAGAAUAAGCACCGGCUAACUUCGUG